CAGAUUUAUUGAAAUGUCACACACGACAAAGCAAAACAAUUAAAUAACAAAAUUACUUGUAAUUUGAAAUAAAUUGAUGUACGGGUGGAUGAAACACAUUUGUAAUCUUAAAUAUAAAUGGGGAAAGAUUUUAGAGAUGAUGCUAAAUACACAUUACAGUCUGUUACCUCUACUAGACAUUGAUGUCAUAUGUGGAUUUAAUGAUGGAUAGAUUAAGAUUUUCUAGAUAAUAUGUUCAGGGGUUAAUACCAACUCUGAACUGAGAAGUGCUGCCAAAGGGAUGGACCAUCAUUGAAUAGUCAUUCCCUAUUGUAACAUGGCUGUUGUCUGUCUACAUUUACCAAUCUGUAGAAAAAUCCCCUGGAUGAACAUGUAGGAGGAGGUGAAUCAGGAGAAAGAGUAGAUGAUUGGUUCAGUUAGCCAGAGCGCUAGCACUCCUAAGACCACCCUCAGUGAGUUCUCUACACCCAAAGAAGUCAUGGAGAAGGAGAUGGAUACCAGGGUUAAACGGCAAAUUGGAAAUGCCUGCGAGAGCACAAGGGAGAUUCCUAACUGUACUAGCGUGUAUGGCCGAGGAAGUAAUGCAACAAAUGUGUAAAGACAAAGUAUUGCUAUUUUGAGGGUUCUCACUUCAUCUUUUGUAAUUUCUCAAACACAAACCCAAUGUGUGUUUUCUAAGUACCUGAUUUAAACUGAUAUGCAUGGGUGUUUUGUUUGAUAACAAGUAUGAACUACAUAGGCCUACUGUCACACAAUUUGGAUUACCAAAAAACGUAAACUUUGACAUUUAUGAAGAGUUAUGUACUUUUUUUGUUUGUUUUACUUUUCAUGAGGUCUAUGGGCCAUUAUGUCUACAUGUAGGUCUCCUUUCUAACAGGGAAUACGAUUGAAAAUGUACCAGACUAUCUUUAGAUAUCUUUUAUCACUGUCACGACUCCUACCGAAGGUGGCUCCUCUUCCUGUUCGGGUGGCGCUCGGCGGUCGUCGUCACCGGCCUACUAGCUGCCACCGAUCCCAUUUCCCUUUUCUGUUGUUGUCUGAAUAGUAACACCUGUUUCUUGUUUGGUUUUUAGUUGGGCUAUUUAAGCCGGUAGGCCCGCCUGCUCUUUGUGCGGGCUUAUUUAUUUUCCACUGUGUUAUUGUGGGGUAGUGUGUGUUGUUUUGGGGUUUUCCCUCCGAACUGGUUAGGUCCUGGUUUUGGGCAUUUGUGUAUGUGCGCCCAAUAUCUUGGCGAGUCCAAUUUUUCCUGUGCUUAAUAAAGCGCUAUUCUGUACCUCCUGCCUCCUGCGCCUGACUCCGCACCCAAUACGCCCAGUGCGUU
rnacentral:lncRNA from 13 species